GUGUGUGUGUGUGUGUGUGUGUGUGUUUUCAUCACUUGUUUUAUGUUCAUUUUUGUUUUUCUCCAUAAAGUCUGCAGACUUUCCAACAAUACCUUGAUGUUUUCUGAAAGCUGAGCCAGUGUGCACACUCUAUGGCCUGAGGCCUCAAUUCGGUGGCAUGUACUCGGGACUGGUGUGUACCUACAAACCGUGUGAUGGGGUCAGUGCCCAAGAACACUAGUUUCUGUGUCCUGUUUCUGUGUUAAAAAGACAUUUCAUUCAACUGGAUAACAGGCCAAGUCUAGUGGAGAAAAGAUUUACUCUGCCAUAGGAUGGGGCAGCAGCCUGCAGUUCAGAAGACUGUUGUGUGUCUGGAAAUUUCCAGAGCCUCCAGUUGCUGGCAGAGGGCCAGAAGGUAGGGCGCAUUUGUCUGCAGAUUAGAGGAGGGGGUCUGCUCACCCCGACAUGAUGCUUGGCCAUGUGUGAACCAUUGAGUUUUCAGGGUUGGAUGUCCUGGCUGACACUGCCAUAGGAGGGUGUAAGAGGCUGAGAGUGACGCAACUGUAGGCUGUGGGGAUGAUGUUCACAGGAAGCCUCCCUGCUGCCUGUGGCAAGAGCAGAGAGUGAAAUGCUUGGGGCUGGGAAGAGGCAACAAAAGCCUACAGAAUCUAUUCUCAGUUCAUCUCCCAUCCUAGUCCUGUCAUGGCCUAACAUCCUUAGCUACUGAUUGCAGAGGAGAUUCCGCACAUUUGUGGUCAUGUGGCCUUGGAUGCUGGCCGAUUCACAUUGGCGCCCCUGGCAUCUGUGCCUUCAUCUGUGGGCUCAGGAACACGCUAACAAGUUUCCUCCAGUUUCCUUGUAUAUGCAUGUGGAAUAUACUCUGUUGGCCUGGGUCUUUUCUGCCUUUUCUUGCCAGUUGGGUCAGAUCUAGCUUAUUAAUCAGCGCUUUUUGAGCUUUAAUAGAACUGGCUCAGACCAGUUGGAGACCUGAAAAGGGCUAUGUGAUAGACGUUUUUUUUAAGAUUAGUUUCAAAUGUACAGCAAAAUGGAGUACAGAGUCCACAGUUCCCAUAUGCCCUCGAUUCCUGUACACUCUUGGGUCACUCCACUAGCAACCUCCUAUACCAGAGUAGAAUAUUUGUUAUAGUCAUGAACUUAUACUGACAUGUCAUCAUCACCCAGAGUGAUACCCUUGAUGACGCCCAUUCUGAGGGUUUGGAGAAAUGUAUAACGAGUGUAUGUAUAAUGAAUGUGUCAUCAUAGCUGUUAUGAUAUCCUGCAGUAUAUUUUCACUGUGGUAAUUAUCUUGUGCUCUACUUAUUUAUUCUCUCUUUUCCUAACCACCGCAAACCACUAAUCUUUUCAGUCUCCAUAGUUUUGCAUUUUUCUGAACGUUAUGUUCUUGGAAUCAUAGAGCAGAUAGCUUUCCAGAUUGGCUUCUUUCAUUUAGUAAUGUGCAUUAUACAUUCCUCAGUGUCUUCUGAUGGCUCAAUAGCUCAUUUCUUUUUAGAAGUGAUUAAUAUUUCAUUUGCUAAAUAUACCACAGUGUUAUUUAUCAGUUAAGCUACUGAGGGACAACUUAGUUCUUCCUACGUUUUGGUAGCUAUUUUAGAAAAUGCUAUAGACAUCUGUGUUCAGGUUUUUGUGUGGACAUCAGCUUUCUGAUCAUUUGAAUAAAGACCUAGGGAGUGCAACUGCUGGAUCACAUGGUAGGAGUAUGUAUAGUUUUGUAAGAAACUGCCCAUAUUAGGAGAGUCUUUACCAUGAUAGAGGAGAACAUGUUAACAUACUGAAGAAUCAGUCCACUGAAGGAGAUAGAACUUGAGGAUCUAGAAAGAAAUGAUGUAACCAUGAGAGCUGUUAAAAGAUAUGAUUGGGCACUCUGAAACAUUAGGAGGUAUAUUUGAGCAUUCAGAAAUUUAAAACCAGGCAGCCCCAGGCUACAAGCAGCUUAGAGCUCCAACAAAGAGGGUUUGGGAGGGUGGGGGAAGAAUUACAUUGUGAAUGUAGAAGAAAAAGAAAAUGCUUGAUCUGGUAAAGUGCAGCAGUGGUCUCAUUUGGAUCAUUACAGUGGAAAGUCUCUAGGUGGAUGUUAGUUGAUGGUUUCUGACUGGUUAAGCAUAAGUUUCCUUUUAUUUACACUGAGUCAAGUUUUGGUUUGUUUAAGGAGGAACUGAGUGCACUGCACUGGAGCCAUCCUGAGCCUCAUGGCUACCUGCUUAUCUGAUUAUUUUUUUCACAGAGAAGACCUUUUUAAAAAUAUCCAUUGCCCUCCCUGGGGUGCAGUGGUAUGAUCACGGCUCACUGCAGCCUCAACCUUCCAGGCUCAGGUGAUCAUCCCACCUCAGUGCUCCCCACCCUCAGUAGCUGGGACUACAGUCAUGUGCCACCACACCACCAUGCUCAGCUAAUUAUUUAUCUGUAUUUGUUUUAGAGGUGGAGUUUCCCUCAGUUGCUUAGGCUUGUUUCAAAGUCCUGGUCUCAAAUAAUCUGCCUGCAUUGACCUCCCCAAUUGCCAGAAUUCCAGGCCAUCUAAAUCUUUUAUCUCAGAUUUGCUUUGUGAGAAAAGGAGGGAUGAUUUUUCUGACAUGAUGAGGAAGAGAAAGAUGAGGUGGGUUCAUUCUGUGUGUAUUAUUUUCUUUGGUGAUGGGAAGAUGAUCUGCUAUUACCUAAUGGGAUAUCUUUUCUCCUUAAUUGAUUUGGCAAGAUAUCAGAAGACAGAAGUUGAAUAAAGGAAUGACAUAGAAAAGAUUGGUCAAAAAGUUAGAAGAACAUAGAAAAAAUGGUGUCGUUGGAGACACAAACCUUUUAUUGAUUUUUGGAAAAUUAGGGCCAAUUUGUUGUAUAAGAGAUUUGAAUUUGUGAUGAUACCUGUGACCAUUUUUUGAUAUUUUUCUGGUUCAGCUGAGUGGUAUCACUGAGCCAACACGAAGUGGGGUUCAUCCAGGGAUAAGAUUUUGCCAGAGAAAGGAAGAGCAGCAAGUCAGGGAGCUUAAGGCAAUUAUUAGAAAGUGACUGUCUAAAUUGCUUAGGUGGAAAGAGACAGAUUGGAUUUCUCUGUUUGGUAUUUGGGGGAAGAGGUGUGUGAGUAUGUAUGUGAGAUGUGUUGUUCAUUCUCCUGAGAGCUAAAACGGGGGGAUUAAUGGACUGCAGUUCUGGACAAGGUGGAAAACUCUUAAAGUGGAAGUACUGGGGUAAGUGCUCUGACAGGCUGGGAUGGUGUAAUCAGUCCCUUCACCUGGAAAUCAGUAGAAUGUUAGCAGUCUAGACUCAAACUUUGUAAAAAACAAGUGGAGAAAAGGAAGUCCCUCACAGUAACUGGCACCAUAAUCAAGACAGAAUGUUUCCAGAAUAAAUGGAGUUAUCUGCUUUCAGCCGUAGGUGGUAGCUAUUCUCUGCCCUGAUGAUAUGUGAUAAUAAUUUGUGAUCCUCAUGUCUUAAAAUGGAGUCACUCAUCUCCAGUAGAAUUAAGUCUACAGUGAAGUUGUCCGCUCAUCCCCAAAGAGAUAAACACAUGUGAAUGGGCUGAGGUGAUAACAAUUAUUGCUGCCUGAGAUCAUGAGAGACCUGAAGUGAACUGAUAGGAAGUGAAAGGUGGCUGAGAACAAGAGAGUGGACCCAUCUGCAGAGGAUCAUAAAACCAGCAGAGACAAGAUCUUGUCUAAGAUGUUUUCAGAAGCUUUGUCCAUGAGAACUGUAAGGACUUCUCCAGACUUGGUGGCUGCUGCUAUGACCUCUGCCCCAAAGGAGCAUCUGACCAUCAUCCAAAGGGCUUCUGGACCCACUGGAUUCUUCUGGAGGAAGCAAAGGAGGACCAAUGACUGGAGUAGCAAAGAACUCCAGGAUUCAUGAUGAACUAAUUGCUAGAGCAAAAAUAUCCAAGACCUUCCUGACUUAUGAUGGGGAAGGGGUAACAGAAGUUGGAUGAGACAAUAGCCAAACAUGAUUUCCGUGUUUACCUAAACUGAACAAUGGAAGACUGUAGUUGACGCCAUUAAGAUUUCUCAAGAAUAUGGAAGAUUAUUAUUCACUUCUGAUGGGACCUUGUAAGUCACCUGAAAAAAAUUCACAUGAAAAACAACUUUUACAAAAUGUCAAGUUAUGCUACAACAUUCACAUAAUAUACAGUACAACCCUGA